CAAUAGCGUAUAUUAAAGUUGUUGCAGUUAAAAGCUCGUAGUUGGAUUUCUGGUGGGGUGUUUGGUCCGGCUCUAAUGAGUUUGUCGCCUAUACGUCUCCGCCAUCCUUGGGGAAAACGUUAGCUUGGCAUUAAGUUUGUCGAGUUUGGGUAGUCCCCACUCGUUUACUUGUGAAAAAUUAAGAGUGUUCAAAGACAGGCUUAUGCCGUUGAAUACAUUAGCAUGGAAUAAUAAGAUAGGACCUUGGUACUAUUUUGUUGGUUUGCGUACCUAGGUAAUGAUUAAUAGGGACAGUUGGGGGUAUUCGUAUUCAAUUGUCAGAGGUGAAAUUCUUGGAUUUAUGGAAGACGAACUACUGCGAAAGCAUUUACCAAGGAUGUUUUCAUUAAUCAAGAACGAAAGUUAGGGGAUCGAAGAUGAUUAGAUACCGU
rnacentral:rRNA from 1 species